CUGCUAAGUUUCAAAGUAGCCAUCAUUUCAAAACACCUUAGCCUCAUCUUUUUUUUUAAUACAAACCAGCAUAACAAUUUAGCACCAGCAUUAUUUCAAUAGAAACCAACAUCAUCUCAAAAUAGAAGUAAACCCAUUCAAAGCUCAAUAAAUCCUAAGCAAGUAAACCUAUUUUAAAAUAAAACAUAAACAAGUAUAACAACAAGCAUGACAGGGACACAUAUCAAAAAGGAGAAGUGGCGGCGACGGCGGCGGUGAACGGUUGAUAGCAGCAGUUACCGGUGAAAAUGACGUUACAAAGCAAAGGCUGGUGCCUCAACCAUGACACUGUAUCAGGAACAGAAAGGCAACAGUAAGGAUAACAACAAAACAGAGCCAAAGCAGACUGGCUUAAUUUGGUUUAAAUUUGAUUGUAAUUGUAAAUUAAAAUUGUAAUUUGAGACAUAAUGAAAUUAUUUAUGGUAA